rnacentral:rRNA from 1 species
UACGGGGGGGGCAAGCGUUGUUCGGAAUUACUGGGCGUAAAGGGCUCGUAGGCGGCCAACUAAGUCAGACGUGAAAUCCCUCGGCUUAACCGGGGAACUGCGUCUGAUACUGGAUGGCUUGAGAUUGGGAGAGGGAUGCGGAAUUCCAGGUGUAGCGGUGAAAUGCGUAGAUAUCUGGAGGAACACCGGUGGCGAAGGCGGCAUCCUGGACCAACACUGACGCUGAGGAGCAAAAGCCAGGGGAGCAAACGGG